rnacentral:rRNA from 1 species
GACGAACGCUGGCGGCGUGCUUAACACAUGCAAGUCGAACGGAAAGGCCCUGCUUUUGUGGGGUGCUCGAGUGGCGAACGGGUGAGUAACACGUGAGUAACCUGCCCUUGACUUUGGGAUAACUUCAGGAAACUGGGGCUAAUACCGGAUAGGAGCUCCUGCUGCAUGGUGGGGGUUGGAAAGUUUCUGCGGUUGGGGAUGGACUCGCGGCUUAUCAGCUUGUUGGUGGGGUAGUGGCUUACCAAGGCUUUGACGGGUAGCCGGCCUGAGAGGGUGACCGGCCACAUUGGAACUGAGAUACGGCCCAGACUCCUACGGGAGGCAGCAGUGGGGAAUAUUGCACAAUGGGCGGAAGCCUGAUGCAGCAACGCCGCGUGCGGGAUGACGGCCUUCGGGUUGUAAACCGCUUUCGCCUGUGACGAAGCGUGAGUGACGGUAAUGGGUAAAGAAGCACCGGCUAACUACGUG